AUAGAACCUUCAGGCAAUUUCCCAAAGGAAGGACACAGUGAGCAGUUAUUUGAAUUUGCAGUACUAGGAUCAAGCAAAAUGGAGGGACAAAAAUAUUAAUCAUUAAUUUGAUGGUGUACAAAUCUUAUCUCAAUUUUGGGAUGAGAUUCCUUUUAAAAUACACAGUCAAUGUCGUGUUCAUAGUGUGUUCUGCAUGAUCAGCCUUUAUCAUGGAUUUCAAUGAGCUUUGUAAUUGGAAAUGGUUCUUUCUAGUCUCCUUCCUAUUCCUUUCUGUACAUGGACGAACCUCAGGGCCGUGUGAGGUAUCUCACCACACUUCCCUCCUUGCAGUUGAACAGAGAAGAGAUAUGCAGAGAAUGAAGAAGGGACCUAUGGCAGUGACUUAUUUGAGGGAGGUGGGACUCCCUUAUUACAUCUGUGAUUGGUCUGUCAACUGACAGACAUGGAGUUAUUGGUGCUUCCAAGAUUGGUCAAGCCGGAGGCGAUUCCCCAUAGUUGGAUACCUCUCUCUUGUUAUCAGAGAACCGGGGUUACGUGAGUAAAUCUAAAGCUUCCCGUUGCUUCUCUGCCUGUUGAUUCCUGGCUGCCCUGCUGCCAGUGAACUCACCUAUGCCUGCUGGCUCACCACCCAUCAACAGACUGGCCUGCCUGCCUCAUCAUUGAUGUUUCCUGAUUCAGCCAUCUUUCCACGCUUCCCCUGUCUUCCGCCAGCCAGUUCUCCACCCCCCUGAAACUGUGCAUUUUACCUCCCCAAUAAAGCCUUUUUGUUUUACUCUGCAUUGAGUACUCAUCCCUUCAUCCACACCUGACAAUUUAGGGCUCAUGGUUGUUGUUUUUAUUUUAUUUGAACAUGUACAAGCGUAUUAAAUAUCAUUUGUAAUAACAGUAAUAAAAAACAAACAUAAAACUCAAUAAAUUUUUUUUACAUUUUUUUAUUUGAAUUCUCAAAUCUGUGUUUGAAGCAGCUUUUUAAAUUCCACUUUAUUUACUCCCAAAUUAAAUGAACCAGAACACUCAACUACAUCUAAACCGGAGUUUCCCUGCACCUACAGUCUGUAUUAGGGGUGUGCAGCAAAGCCAUGAUCUGUAUUUGUAUCUGUAUCUGUUCAUAUGACAAAAUUAUCUGUAUCUGUCUCUGUAUUCGGACAGAAACGGGUGUGGGCGGGGCUUAAAACGGAAGUGUUUCAAAACUAAAUGAAACACACUUUUUAAAGUCUUACAUUUAUAGAUUCUAUUAAUAAAAUAUGCCUUGUAUAUGCUUUUUCAUAAUAAUAACCUAAUAAUAAUAAUAAUAAUAAUAAUAAUAAUAAUAAUAAUUAUUAUUAUUAUACAAUUAUUAUUUAACAAAUAUUAUUUUAUUCUUUUUUUUUUUCUUACCAGAUGAAGCUGAACUUGUAGGCUACAUUAACUGGAAUAUUUUGUGUUUUUUCCUGGUAUUUCAGAUAUUAAUAUCUGCAUGAAACAGAAUUUUCCUUUGUUUUUGCAUGUAUAACAACAUUAUUCUGGUGGCAAGAGGUGGCAAGCAAGAUGUGAAAUGUCAAGCACACAUUUUGCAGUGAAUAAUACAUACAUACAAAUUCAAACAUUAAAGGAAAUUAAAAUAAAAUCAAUAUAGACUACAAUCUGGUGAAAGUCCCGUAAAUCUAUCAGGAAUUUUUACGAUAGGACACCAUUAUUUAGUUAAAUAAUAAUAAUAAAUUUAUAUAGCGCCUUACCAGAGUUCAAGAACACUUAACAUUUUCAAAUUUAGCACAGUUUAAAGAAGAAGAAGAGAAGCAUGUUUCAGUUUCUUUGUUUUACAUAAGGAGGGAUAUUCCUAAUAGAUAAAUACUCUAUGGAGCAUUUAAACCUUUAUGGAGCAUUUUAACUUUUUUCAGAAUAAAGUCUUAACCAGUUAAUAACUUUAAUCGCUGAUGUGGAUAUAAAUGCGGACAACUUAAAAGGUGCAGUAUGUAAGAUUCAGAAACCCUUGUUAUUAAUGACACCUGUGGCCGUUAAGUGAACUGCACUCAGCUACCUGUUGUUUGUGCUCGUGCUUGUGCACACACUCCAUAGGGACGAGCAAGAGAGCAUCCAAAACAAUGACGUAACGUACAAAGAGACUGAACGUGUUCACCGACAUCAUGCUGACAGAUGAGGUAGCAUAGUUUUUUUUUUUUUUUUGAUUAACAAUUUUUUAAUGAUUCACAUAAAUGUACCUCAUAGAACAAAACAUAUAUACAUAGAAUAAAACUUAACCCCAACUAUUACUCCUCCCUCUCCCUCUCCCAAUCCCACCCUAACCCCAGCAACAUAACAGUGGUCUUAAAUGACAUAGACACACAUGCACACACACACACACACACACACAAAAAAUAAAUAAAUAAAAAAACACACAACAACAAUGACACAUCCACAAAUGACAAAUACCCGCCCCAUUUCUCCACGAACACUUUAUACCUCCCCAAUCCUCUGAAUGUCACUUCCUCAAAGGCCGCCAUCCUUCCCAUCUCCGAGCACCACUUCUGAAAGGAGGAUGCUCCAGCCAACCUCCAGCCCCUCAAAAUGAUCUGCCUGGCGAUCAUGACACUGGUUGACAACCAGUCACAUACCUCAGCAUUAAGUGAACUGACUAUCGAACAUCUUGAGGAACCAUUAAAGUGUGAGACUGAGUUUCUAGUCAUCAUUAAGUAUUGUUAUGUUGAGAGGACACUAGAUGACAUCAUCACUGACAUCGUCUUUAUGGUGAGUACAAAAUACGACAGCAGUCAAUACUGUAGUGUAAUUGUUUUAAAAGUAUUAAUAGUCAGCAUUGGUCAGUUUGUUUGCAGUGUGUCAUCUGUUUUUCUUAGGUCUUGUCCAGAGGCGUGAUAGUUCAUCAUGGAUAUGAGAAAGCUGAAGUGAAGACUUCUAAUGGAUUAGCAAGUGGCACAAUCUCAUUCAAACUCUAUGUUAAUGUUGAUCUUGCUCCAGCAGUGCAGAUUCUGGCAUAUUGUGUUCUGCCCUCUAAGAAAGUAGUUGCUGGUAGCACAGUUUUCAAGACUGCAAAGUGUUUGAAAAGCAAAGUAUAAAGUUUUGGAUUUGGUUAGGUACUGCUGCCUUUAUAUACAUUGUUAUAAAACUAUGAAUUCUGAUUGGAUGAGCCAUAUACAAAGCCAUUGGAACAUGACAGUAAAUGCACACCUGCAACUGCAAACAGCCUACCGUUAGACUAAUGCACUAAAUUACUUCGUGGAAGAAAUGUUUAUUCCGAUUAUUGUCUAAAACAAAUUCAACUCUUUACUAAAUAUUGAUGUAUUAUAUAUUGCAGUUUAAGUCACAAAAGCAAUAAGUCACUGGUUUGUAUAAUUACUGUGCAUUACAGUAAUUUUACCUCAGGCUUUAGACUCUUUGUGUCGUGCCUAAGAACAUGGUAAAAUUAUUUUAAUGCAUGCCAUCUUAUGGCUUAUUGCUUUUUAUUUUAAUCGAAUGUCUCCAAUUUUAUAACAGGAAUAGAAUGUAACAUCAUACAGUGAACUAUCUUACAUGAUGUUGUUGUUACAGGUGUUCCUGCAAUUUUCUCCAGCUAAAGCAGUUCCAGGUGAAGAAAAUACUUUGCAGCUCUCAGCUGAAUCUGGUUCACUGUGUGGCCUCAGUGCUAUGGAUCAGAGUGUACUGAUCCUGGAGUCAGGAAGUCGUCUAAAUACUGACAAGUCAGUAUCGGGUUGUCCUGAUGGCAUUGAAGAUGCACAGGAAUGCCUUGAAAUUAGACCCCGCCGAGCUCUGCCAACAGACCAUGCUUAUAAAAGCUUGAAGAUAUGAUGGUCCACAAGCAAGAACUAACAUGGUCAUUGUGGACAUUCACAGCAGAUACAUCAUUGGUGCGUUUGAAGUCACAUUGAAUCCAAGAUGGUGCAGCUAUGACCGGAUAUUAUCUAUAAAUCUGUAUACUAUCCUGUUGGGCACGUGACCAAUCACAGCUUCAAUCUCGACAACAUUCGAAUGCGUAUUUUGUGGAGCGAGUUUAUUCUAAAGAUGAUCAUGUCAUAAUUUAUUUGAAAGAGGUUCCAAAAAACAUUCCUUUGAAUUACCUGAUGCAACUGGAGCAGGUUGUUCCAGUGAAGAAUCUCAAGCCAGCUGUGAUCAAAGUCUAUGAUUACUACCAAACAUGUGAUGAGUCAGAGACUGAGUACUCCCACUGUGAAUAAGGUGUUGUGCUUCAGUUCUGCAGCUCCAUAGUACACCUUGGAUGACGUUGAACACUCACUACAUUUUUAAAGUUACGUUUUGUUUAGUCUUGUUUUUUCUUGCUCUGAAAAUCAUUUACAAGUUCAUGAAACAGAAGCUUCUCAUAUAAUGUGUAAUGAUAAAGCCCAUCAGCCUUAAAAGAAUAUUCUGGGUUCAAUACAAGUUAGGCUCAUCCGACAGAAUUUUUGGCAUAAUACUGAUUACCACAAAAUCUAAUUUUGACUUGCCCCUCCUUUUCUUAAAAAAGAUUAAAAAGUCUGGGUUACAGUGAGGCACUUAAAAUGGAAGUCAAUGGGGCCAAACCAUAAACGUUAAAAUACUCAUUGUUUCAGAAGUAUAGCCACAACAUGUAAACAAUAUGUGUGUUAACAACAUUUUAGUGUGAUAAAGUCGCCUACUAACCUUUUCUGUGUAAAGUUAUAGCUAAUUUUACAAAUUUGUUGUCAUGAUGAUGUAAUGUUAACAGACCCCAAAAUGACUGUAAAAAUUUAAAAAUGAUUUUAACAGAAAAAUUAAUGUAAGUGCUUUUAUAAAAUUACAAGCUUCAUAUUUCUGCCUUUUAAACCCUUUAAAAAAAAAAUUAACCUUGAGGGAUGAGGUAUACCAAUGACUAUUAAAAGUGAUGAAAACAAGUUAUGGUGAACUCACUGUGUUUUUCUUAUUGUUUGAAGUGGUUGCAUACAUGCUUUGGCAACAUUUCAGCCAAAGUCAGCCAAAAUAUUUUAUUUUGAGACUGACACAAAUAUGGCAGACC